rnacentral:rRNA from 1 species
AACGAACGCUGGCGGCAUGCCUAACACAUGCAAGUCGAACGAGACCUUCGGGUCUAGUGGCGCACGGGUUCGUAACGCGUGGGAACCUGCCCUUAGGUUCGGAAUAACUCCCCGAAAGGGGUGCUAAUACCGGAUAAUGUCUUCGGACCAAAGAUUUAUCGCCUUUGGAUGGGCCCGCGUUGGAUUAGCUAGUUGGUAGGGUAAAAGCCUACCAAGGCGACGAUCCAUAGCUGGUCUGAGAGGAUGAUCAGCCACACUGGGACUGAGACACGGCCCAGACUCCUACGGGAGGCAGCAGUGGGGAAUAUUGGAAAAUGGGCGAAAGCCUGAUCCAGCAAUGCCGCGUGAGUGAUGAAGGCCUUAGGGUUGUAAAGCUCUUUUACCCGGGAUGAUAAUGACAGUACCGGGAGAAUAAGCACCGGCUAACUCCGUG